AUAUUUUUUGUCCGUCUUAACCGGAUGCACGUCAUCAACGGAAACGGAUGCAGAUGGAUUGUUCAGCAGCGAACAUGUGAGAUGGAUAAAUUAUGAAUUUCAUCGGAUCACAACCCUUCCUUUACACUCCAAAAUUCAUGUCCAAACUGGAUCUGUUCUCUGAUGAUCUGCUAAAAGUGUUUACCAAAAAGGGUGGAGUGUUUAGAAAAAAGAUUCAAGAUGUGAUGGUGCCAGUGUCUCAGACCAAGCAAGAGUGCAUUCUCAAGGGGCUAUGCAUCUACCUGAAUGAAGAUGAAUAUGAUGUAGUAUUUGGUGAGUAUAGAGUCAAAAACUGCUGAUGGGUAAAGAGUUAAUGUACAUUUUUUUAAUUUUAAAAUAUUGAGUAAAUUGUAAAGCUCCGAUAUGAAUUAAAUGACUGAUGUUAACUUCUCUUUAAACCUUUGUACUCCACACAGCCACUGGUUUAGGUUUACGUGAUAUCAUCCUGUUUGAUAAGCACAGUUCUUAAUAGUCAAUUCGAUUCACCUUUAUUUAUGUAGUACUUUACACAAUACACAUUGUCAAAGCAGCAUAAUUAAACAGGAAAAUAGUUUGUCGAUAAUGCAAGAGGACAAUA